rnacentral:lncRNA from 1 species
UCAGGGCGGCCUCAACUUCCACCUAGCGUCGUGGACCCCAUGCCUGCGGGACAGCCAGGCAGUGAAAAAGCAGUCUGGCUCCCGAGGUCUACUCCCUACACCCCAAGGUCCAGAUGGCGGCCAACGUGGGUGAUCAGCGCACUGCAGACUGGUCUUCUCAGUACAGCAUGGUGGCUGGGGCCAGCAGAGAAAAUGGAAUGGAGACUCCUAUGCAUGAGAACCCAGAGUGGGAGAAGGCCCGCCAGGCCCUGGCCAGCAUCAGCAAAGCAGGGGCUGCCAGCAGUUCCAAAGCCAGUAGCAGUGGGCCUGUGGCCAGUGCACAAUACGUUUCUCAGGCAGAAGCCUCGGCUUUGCAGCAGCAGCAGCAACAGUACUACCAGUGGUACCAACAGUACAACUAUGCCUAUCCUUACAGCUACUACUACCCCAUGAGCAUGUACCAGAGCUACAGCUCCCCCUCUCAGUAUGGGAUGGCCAGCUCCUACGGCUCAGCUACAGCCCA